GAUGAACGCUGGCGGCGUGCUUAACACAUGCAAGUCGAACGGGAAACCUUUUAUUGAAGCUUCGGCAGAUUUAGCUGGUUUCUAGUGGCGGACGGGUGAGUAACGCGUGGGUAACCUGCCUUAUACAGGGGGAUAACAGUCAGAAAUGGCUGCUAAUACCGCAUAAGCGCGCAGAGCUGCAUGGCUCAGUGUGAAAAACUCCGGUGGUAUAAGAUGGACCCGCGUUGGAUUAGCUGGUUGGUGGGGUAACGGCCCACCAAGGCGACGAUCCAUAGCCGGCCCGAGAGGGUGAACGGCCACAUUGGGACUGAGACACGGCCCAGACUCCUACGGGAGGCAGCAGUGGGGAAUAUUGCACAAUGGGGGAAACCCUGAUGCAGCGACGCCGCGUGAAGGAAGAAGUAUCUCGGUAUGUAAACUUCUAUCAGCAGGGAAGAUAAUGACGGUACCUGACUAAGAAGCCCCGGCUAACUACGUG
rnacentral:rRNA from 1 species